rnacentral:rRNA from 1 species
AUUUAUUCCUCUAAAGAGCCGUUCGAGACUAGGACGUUGAUAGGUUGGGUGUGGAAGCACGGUGACGUGUGAAGCUGACCAAUACUAAUUGCUCGUGAGGCUUGACUAU